UCUCCCAAGGAAACCAAUAAAGCUGUGUCUUUGGGAAGUUCCUCCAGGGAAAAAUAAACCCCCUUCAUUUGUCUAUGUUCCCUCAACUCUUUUCAGCUUUCAUGAACAGGACCACCUCAGGAAAAAGGUAUACAAGUCUUUAAGGUAAAAGGUUUAAAGAAACAUUUUAUCAAAAGUGCCCACCCCAGGUGACUUUACAUCCUGUUCUUCCUGAACCAGAUUUUUAACAUGGACUCCUUGACCCACUCAGUUUCUAAAAAGGGACUCCAAACUGCUUGCCCACUGCACAUUGCCCCUCUUUCAGCUGGAAGUAGCAAGAACGGUCAAUCGCCCUUUUCCCUUAUGGCAGUUGGAGGUCCCUAAUACAAGAGGAAAAAUUAUGAUCAACAUAGAUGUUUGCCAAUAUGUCUAGCUCAGGAAGAUGUACCUGGGAAACUACUCCCAAGAUUACCCUGGGUGAUCUCCCAGAAAGAGACACUUGCUUCCACAACCCAACUUAUAAGUGGGACAACUCCCUGUUCACCAAAAAUUGUGCUUCCCGGGUCCCACUUCGAACUCCUUGCCUAUAUCUCCAAACUGUCAAUAACUCUGAACUAUGUAACCUACUAUUUUGGUGGAGUAAAGGGAAAAGAACACCUGGACUUAUUAAAAGGCCAGGGCCCACUGAUUUAUCAACAUAGACUGGCUACCCCCAUUUUAGUUCCCCUCCUGGCUGGGGAUGAGGGGAACUAUCUACUGCUUUGGGAACUACAGCUCUUAUCACAAGCUCUAAAAAUUUUAAGUCCCUCAGCCAUCAAAUAAAUAUACAUUUAGGAAAACUAGAAAGGUCAAUCUCCAAACUAGAGGUUUCACUAGACUCUCUGACAGAAAUAGUCUUACAAAACAGAUGAGGUCUAGAUGGUCUCUUUCUGAAACAAGGAGGACUUUGUAUGGCUCCAGGAGAAACUUGUUUCUCUGAAAACCAUUCUGGGAUAAUAAAAAGCAGUUUGGCGCUUGUGAGAAACAGUUUAAAGAAAAGAGAUGAAGCACUGGAAAUUUCAGACAAUUGGUUCUAAAACCUAUUCUUAUGGUCCCCUUGGUUGACUACCAUCAUUUCAGCCAUAGUUGGUCUCCUAGUCCUUCACCUGAUUGGUAUUACUGUAAGACCCUGCCUCUUAAAAACCCUCCUAAACCAUAUACACAAAAGAAUGUAGAUGGGGUCAGACUUAUGGUCUUGCGAGCCCAGUAUAGUCCCUUAGACACAGAAGGAUGAAACAAAAACUGAGGCCUAAUGAUGUGCAAGAUUGACAUCAAGCCUACUAAAACCAGUGGGGAAUGUGAUAGUAGGAGCAAAUGUGACUCCAUUUUGUUUUAUGACUUCAUCCUGUAAAACAACCAUGCCAAGUAGAAGAGUCAUGACUGGAGCAAGAUGUUCUUUUCCUUUUGCUAUAGAAACCUUUAGGAACAUGGAACUACCCAAUGGGGUAUUGUUUCUGUAACUAGGGUAAUGGGGCUCUGUUUCUGUAACUGGGGUGACUGGGCUAACUGUGAUUGGUUAGGCUUCCCUCCGCUUGACUGCUCUAUCCCGCUUCUGUAACCUGGCUUACUUGCAUUGGCUGUAGAGGCUGCAGAGGAACCAGCAGCCAGGAAGAAAAGGCUCCUUCUCUGCACUCCUCCCUGCCCUGGGAGAGGACAGGGUCACAGCCUGAGGGUCGCCCCUCAAGAGAAGAAACUAUGUCAUAUGCACAUACAUUCCUGUUGUGUAAUUCUGCUCAUUAGGAUGCUUUGUAGUUUAUGCCUAAGGCCAAGCCCCAGAACAACACGGGUUUCAGAGUGGGGUGCAAGGUGCAGAGUACAGGUGCAUUGGCUUUGACCCAAAUCCCAAACAUCUUCAGCCUUGAAUUCCUUGUGACUCUGCCUUGGCAACACUGUGUGGUAGGCAGGCAGGAGCACAUUCGCACAUUAGAAAAGCAAUACUUUUUACAAGGAGUUUUAAAAUGCACUCUCAUUUUGUUUAUAAUCAACUAUAUACAUAUAUGUCUCAUUGAAUAUGCAUGUCUAUAGAGGAUGGCAAGGGAUUGAAUCAUUCUCAAGAGGACCUUUGGGAAAUCACCAUGAAGUCAGGUGAAAAUGAGCAAGUCCCAUUUGGGGCUUGACAGAGGAAUCUUGAAUUCAGACAAGGUGGGAAGAAGCAUAUUGGCAUCAUUGCCAACUAUAACACUCUUGACCAUUUCUGAGUCAUCAAGUGGCUCCAAUCUGCCCCUAGAAAUGGAAUUAAUCAGGAAGUCCAAGUCAAUGAUGUGCAUCACAGAGUGGCAGGGUCCAGUUCUAUCAGCUAUUCCCAGCCCACAGAAGAAACGAAUCCAAGUGAGAUCCUGGAGAUGGAUUAUUGUCAUUCAGAAGCCACCACGUUCAUCCAUAGCCUCACAGUAAUCCCCAGUGCUGUUCCUGUGAGCAAGCAUCUGCUCUGAGGUGUCAGGGCUCCUAGCUGAAAAGCCCUUGAGCCAUAGCUGCAGCAGGAGUGGGUGCACAGGGCAGGGCCCUCCCCGCACUGACCUCUCUCCACUGGACAAUUCCUUCUUGAGAAUUCCCUGUUCUCUAGCCCCACACAUGCAUGGUACAUAUUCAGUAGCUCACAUAGAUUAUCUAUGAAUUGUUCUUUCUGAACAUCUCUUAUGCCAAAAAAAACCCCCACAAAACUCCCCUUUAUAUAAAAAGAAAAGAGACAUCCAGGUUGGUGAGCCUCCUGCUGAAAACGCAAAAGCAUGAGUUUUUCUUAUGGCUGGAAUGCUAACUUGCAUGGCACUCAUUGGGUGAGUCACAAAGCUUCCUGGGACCCCGGUUUCAUCAUCAAAGCAGAAAUCAUCCUACAACCUACCUCCUGGAGGUGCUGCACAACAAACUGCUGAUGGAAGUUUUGGAAUCCAGUUUAUAACCCAUAAAGGCUAUCCUCAGAAAUGGUGUGGAAAACUUCUUUAUGCUAUUGUGAUUCAAGAGAUGCCAAGUCUCAGAGCAAGAGCAUUCAUGCUUGUUGAUGCUGCUCAGAGGUGAAGAGGUUGGGGCAAAUAAUGAGGGGGAAAAGUGCUUUAAAUGGAUUUAUUUUGACCACAAAACAUGUUGUUAGAACAAAAAAACUACAAUUAUACAUUCUCUGUCCUCAUGCUUUGCAAAUUUUAAUGUGCAUAUAAAUCCUCUGGGACCUUGUUAGAAAGAAGUAAGUCUGGGGUGGGGACUGAGAGUCUGCAUUUCUGACCAAUUUCCAGAGGAUGCUGAGGCUACUGGGCUACAUCCAAAGUUCAGGUAGCAGGGCUCUGGCCUGUCCUUACUGUUUGUAUAUUAAAAGUGCUGCCUCUCA